rnacentral:rRNA from 1 species
GAUGAACGCUGGCGGCGUGCCUAACACAUGCAAGUCGAACGGGACUAUUCAGAUGAACUUUUCGGAGCGAUUCUUUUUAGUUUAGUGGCGGACGGGUGAGUAACGCGUGGAUAACCUGCCUCUCACAGGGGGAUAGCAGCUGGAAACGGCUGGUAAUACCGCAUACGCUCUUGAGACCGCAUGGUCUUAAGAGGAAAGAUUUAUCGGUGAGAGAUGGAUCCGCGUCUGAUUAGCCAGUUGGCGGGGUAACGGCCCACCAAAGCGACGAUCAGUAGCCGGCCUGAGAGGGCGGACGGCCACAUUGGGACUGAGACACGGCCCAGACUCC